CCCUUAGAUGUCCUGGGCCGCACGCGUGCUACACUGAUGCAUACAGCGAGUACUUUCCAGCUCCGCGAGGCAGCUGGUAAUCAGCAAUAUGCAUCGUGCUGGGGAUAGAUCUUUGGAAUUAUAGAUCUUGAACGAGGAAUUCCUAGUAAGCGCAAGUCAUUAGCUUGCGCUGAUUAAGUCCCUGCCCUUUGUACACACCGCCCGUCGCUCCUACCGAUUUCGAGUGAUUCGGUGAACCUUUUGGACAGCGUCUGUCCUCGCGUCAGAUGCUGAAAGUCAAGUAAACCAUAUCACUUAGAGGAAGGAGAAGUCGUAACA
rnacentral:rRNA from 1 species